UCCUUCAACACAACAGAAACCACGACAACCAUGACUCUGAUCACCAUCUUCAUCUGGACACUGGUCUGCUGCUGCCUCAAAGGAUCCAGAGGUCAGGUGACUGUGACUCAGUCUCCUGUAGUGACAUUUUCUCCAGGAGACCCCGUCACUCUGACCUGUAGAACCAACCCUAAAGUGUACAAAUACAGUGAUGGAGAUGAGGGUGCAUUCUGGUAUCAACAGAGACCUGGAGAAGCUCCUAAACUCCUUAUAAGAUAUGCAAAGAAACUGCAAGGUGGGAUUCCUGCUAGAUUCAGUGGCAGUGGGUCUGAGAGUGACUUCACUCUGACCAUCAGUGGAGUCCAGGCUGAAGAUGCAGCAGUUUACUACUGUAAGAGUUUCCACAGUGGUAAUGUGUUCACACAGUGA